GCAUUUUCCUGCAUAAAACUAGACAGUAUUUUAAGGCACUUAGCAAUGGCGCUCAAUGCUGAUUCCCAACUCCCCCCAAGUAUCCGGGCUGAGGCUGAAUAGCCAAGGGCGGCCGAGGCUGGGAAAGCGGUUCUACCUGGAGACCGCAGCCGGGCACUCUCGUCCGGAGCUGGGCUGACCUCCGAACGCCGGCCCCACGUUGGACUAGGCUUCUCGUGGGGUUGACUGAGCAUCCCCCGCCAGCCGGAGGGACAGACAGAGGAGCCCGGAGCGCGUGGCAGCCCCCGUCAGCCGGGGUUGCCGAGGGGAGGCGGGGAAAAUCGGGCGGAGAAGCGGUGGCUGAGGCGCCGGAGGCUGCAGCUGCACCCCCACGCCGCCCGCCCGCGAACUCGCGGCGGGUGCUGGGCCGCGCUGGCCGCGUUUGAAGUCUCCGGCGCGACCGCUGGUUGGCCGGCGCGGGUCACGUGCGCCCAGGCAGGAGUUUCCCCGACAGCUGGAGGCUGCGUGGGAUCCGGCGGCGGCUCCGGAGCUUGGCGGUGCGGCCUUCCCCGCCCCCUCCCUCCUCCCCCGCCCGCUUCCGCCCGGCUUAUUAUCCUCCUUAUUGACAAACAGAGCGGCCGCGGCGGCGACUCUCGGCGUGCAUCUGUAGCCAAGCCAUGGGAGACAAGAAGAGCCCCACCAGGCCGAAGCGGCAGCCGAAGCCGUCCUCGGAUGAGGGUUACUGGGACUGUAGCGUCUGCACCUUCCGGAACAGCGCGGAGGCCUUCAAGUGCAUGAUGUGCGAUGUGCGGAAGGGCACCUCCACCCGGGACAGCAAGGAAGGGGGGAAGCUGGUGUCCUACUCCACAGCCAGUCUUGGGGUUAGAGGAACCCUGAGAAAUAGAGUAGGUGGUGGCAGCUCAGAAGAGAAGAAACAGGCCGAAUACCUGGCAUCUGGAAGAAGAAGGAAUAUAGUGCACAGGGGAGUUGGCCCAGGACAGAGAAGUGGGCCUAGUAUAAAAGAGGCUUGAGGCCCCCAUGGGGGCCCCUGACAUUUUUACCAGUACAUCUGAGCUCUUGUAGAUCCAGUUUUUAGUGGAUUACUUGAGGAGGACUCAGAGAAGCAUUGUCAUUUGGAUUGAAACUGAAGAGGCUCUGGGCAACUCACCAGAAGUCUAAGGGACACUCUGUUCCUAAAAGAAACCUCGACCUGUCUCCCAGUUGGUUGCACAGCAGGUUACUCAGCAGUUUGUGCCCCCUACACAGUCAAAGAAAGAGAAAAAAGAUAAAGUAGAAAAAGAAAAAAGUGAAAAGGAAACAACUAGCAAAAAGAACAGUCAUAAGAAAACCAGGCCAAGAUUGAAAAAUGUGGAUCGGAGUAGUGCUCAGCAUUUGGAAGUGACCGUUGGAGAUCUGACAGUCAUUAUUACAGACUUUAAGGAGAAAACGAAGUCACCGCCUGCAUCUAGCGCUGCUUCUGCAGAUCAGCACAGUCAGAGUGGCUCUAGCUCUGAUAACACAGAGAAGGGAAUGUCCAGGUCAUCUUCACCCAGAGGAGAAGCCUCAUCAUUGAAUGGAGAAUCGCAUUAAAGUUUAUUUUCUCCAAUUUCUUAGUCACUUCUGUCAUAAUCAUGCAAAUACACAGAUUAUGCCAACUACCACAUUUUCAUGACAAACAUUCAUGUACAAUUCAUAAUUUGUGUUUUACAUAAAAUAGAAAUUUGUUAGAAUUUGUUAGAUUUUAUUGCAAUCUAUGCCUAUCAAACAUUUCCAGACUUUAACAUUUUGGUCUCCACAGUUAAAGGUGCCAUGAAAAUGUGGUUGAAUUAUUCAUUAUGCAGUGUUAUUGGUAAGUCUAUUUUCACUUUUAGUUUAGUGAAUUCUAACACAUAAUUCUUGAAUUCUCUACUAUUGGCAUGUAACGAAUUAAAAUUUUUAUAACAUAGUGCAAGCUGCCUAAAUAUGUAUUAUUUGAGAAUUGUGAAACAAAUAGUUAUAUGUAUACAAGUCAAAGAUCAACUUACUCAACUAUUGCUGCAACAGGAUUUUCUUAAAUGGUUAUCUUCUUAAAUACACCUGCUGGUACUUGGUGUGGUUAAAUAGGAAAAUUGUUAUUAAAUAAAGAAUUUGUAUGAACCGUUGCCAAUGUUUUUGACACAUUUUACUAAAUUAUUGUUCCUGAAUUAUGUUUCUGGUUUUACCUGUUUGUUUUUUUUUGUUUGUUUGUUUUUUUGCUUAACUUUCAAAAUAUUCAUUUAUUGUAAUGUUUACUAUCAGACUAGUAAACAAUAAAACUGAUUAUUUAGCUUUAUAAUUCAGGUUUAGUGCUAUUGUCAUAGAACACUGGUAUUUUCUGUAUUAUAUAAAAAAUUAAAAUUAAAAUAAUUAUAAGCAUUUGGAAAAAGCAGAAGAUAAAAGAAACCUGCCAUGUUUCAAAAGCUGCAAUUCUGGAAAAGCUUUAACUUAAUAGUUUUAUCACUGUUUCCUUGCCCCAAACCUUACCCAGGGUCAUAGAAGUAUGAAUCUAAUUAAUACAGAAAUGGGAACUGUUGCACAGAAGUGGGAAAUAACUAAUCUUAAAUCAGUUUAAUUGGCCUCUUAUUAAAUGUAACAAUUCUUAUGAAAAUCAUAGUGCCCUAUUUUCAGACACAACUGCCAGUUUAUGCAUUUAUCAAUAUUCUGAAGUAUAAAAAGUAUAUACAGCCCCACUUACUAUUAUGUAAAGUUACGAAUAAAAUAUUUUUAUGACUACAGAUUUUGCAUUUUUGUUUACAACUAAUAAAGUGUUUUAUGUUAUAUUUAAAAAUCCAACCUAGAAACCACACAGUACUUCUUAAAUUUCUCCUAGGGUUACCUGCUUUCUCUUACCCAUUUGCUUAAUAUAUAGCUACCUAUAGGAGAGUUAUGCAAUAUAAAUGAAGUUCAAAAACAUAACUUGGAUACAACAUAUCACAUAAAGACAUCAUGAUAGCAUUUGAAGAAAAAAAUUAUAGACCCUGACAGUUGUGAUAUUUGGUGGUUUCACGUGGUAAUGUAAUUUUCUGUUUAAUUGCAGUACUUUUUACAGGCACAAUGGUACUGUCUUUUUUGUAAGAUGCUAGUUGUGAAAUACAGUUAAUUGCAUAUAGUAAAAGUCUGUGAUUAAAACAUUUAUAUACCUCAUUCUUUAUAGUGUUGUUAAGUGAAAAAUUAAAAUUUGUUUUUAUUAUAAGAUACUUUAAAUGGAACCCC